rnacentral:rRNA from 1 species
CAGCAGCCGCGGUAAUACGUAGGGUGCAAGCGUUAAUCGGAAUUACUGGGCGUAAAGCGUGCGCAGGCGGUUAUAUAAGACAGAUGUGAAAUCCCCGGGCUCAACCUGGGAACUGCAUUUGUGACUGUAUAGCUAGAGUACGGCAGAGGGGGAUGGAAUUCCGCGUGUAGCAGUGAAAUGCGUAGAUAUGCGGAGGAACACCGAUGGCGAAGGCAAUCCCCUGGGCCUGUACUGACGCUCAUGCACGAAAGCGUGGGGAGCAAACAGGAUUAGAGACCCCUGUAGUCCCUGUCUCUUAUAA